GGUAUCUUGAAUUCGAUUCGAUAUCUUGAAUUCUUGCUGUGUUUGAUAGUGUGAAUUUCUCUCAGGUAGUUGCUGGGGUUUCUUUGGGCACCCAAAAUAUAAUGGUGCAAGGUUUGCUGCUUGUAUAAUAUUCGUGGGACUGAUGUUGAUUACGGUCCAGUUGUUCAUGCCUUUGCGAUAGUUACUCUGAACUCAGCUUUCUUCUAUGUAGACAAAAGGAAGGUUGAAUCUGAGAAUGCACAAAACAGGUCGCCCUGUACUUGUUGGCACAACUAGUGUUGAGCAGAGUGAUUCAUUGUCUGAGCAUUUGCAAGAAGUUGGCAUUCCCCAUGAGGUUCACAACUAGAGCAGGAGAGAGACCUGGAGGGUGCAGCAGCUAAACAUAAGAGAAAGCAGGCUUCAUCAAACUUUGAACAGACCUCUAGUAUAGAUGGUUCAAAUGUUGACCAUGAGAGAGACCUGGAAGAUGCAAAGGAUAGAUCUAAGAGAAAGAAGGUUCCUACAAUUCAUGACUGCAAGCAGUCUCCUUGCAUUCCAUCUGGUUCAGUCUCGCUUUCUCAAGGAUCUCUCACAAUUCGAACUCCAAUUUCCCCAUCGGGUUCAGUGAGGGUGAAUGGGAAAGAGAUAAGUUACAGUGAGUUUUUGGAGAGGUACAUGAGCUACCACCCCUCAAAAGCUAGCGUUUAUUGAUGUCGCAAAAGGAGUCGCAUGUUUUCAAAGUUGAAGGCAGAAACCUUGAUUACAUUUAUCUGGCAGCUAUCUGCGUCUGGAGAUAGUGGAGUACCUGAAGUGGUAGCUGAUCCUCUAGGUGAAGUUUCGAGGACAUUUCAGGAGCUUGGAAUAUGUGUUGU